GUAUAACUUUUUCAAUAUAUCCAUUAUCAUUCUAAACACAUUUACAGAGGUUGUGAAAAAUGACAUAGACCUGUAAAAAUACAAGGCAAAGCUGACCUCUUGAAAUGAAGCACAGCAGUCCCAACUCGGAACGAAUUCCAUCCAGGUCUACAAAUAUGUGCACAAGUUGGGAGAAAUGAUAAAGAUGACAAGCGUGCACAUGCCCCCCCAGGGGAGACCAGCAAACAGCCUGUUCAAGUUUAUUCGAUAAUGAUCCUUCCGCAGGUUCACCUACGGAAA
rnacentral:misc_RNA from 1 species